UUACGACUUUAAACACCGUAGCCCCUGGAAAAUAAAUAACUCUCUGCUGAGGGACGAGAGAUUUGCAGACUCACUGGCAGGGGACCUCCACACAUACUUCCAGCUAAAUGACACUAAAGAAACCACAGAUGCUACUCUGUGGCUUACACACAAAUCAGUAGCGAGAGGCCUACUAAUACACAGAGCAACAUACGUAAAAAAAGAAACGUCAAACGCAGCUUAGAGCAUGGCAGGCAGAACUGUACGAGAUGAAUAGACUAAACCAAACCACAC